CAAUGUCAACCUAUGUCAUACGCGCAGGCUGAUACGACGGAUAAAGACGACGACACUACAGCUGACACGGCUGAUACAGACGAAGCCGGUUUCGCGCAGGAUGUCGCGCGCAAAAAGGAGCUGUGGUCUAAUCUCACCCGUCGGCGUCGGGAACAAGAGUUCAGACCGCCGAAUACUGUAUUGGAGGAAAACUUCAUGAAAGAACACCGCUUAGUGAAAUAAUUGGACACAAGUUCAUCCGUGAACCUCGCUGCCGGAAAUAACAUUGAGACUAUUGGAAUCACUACGACGUCAAGGGAAGACGGAGAAUCCGUCCAGAGAAUAAUUAAAAGAAUGGGUAACAAGAGUGUCCACACAAUCUUCAAGAUGUCAAAGGACCCAAGAUUCAAAAGUUGUAUUUUACAACGAGGCGAAGUCAUUGGCAACAAACGGCGUAAAGAUUCUACGCUUUAGACUGUUUUCAUGGACAUUUCCGGCUACGAACAUCCAUAACAAAUUGACGACGAUGUUCAUGUUAGGUCAUGGCAUAAUGAGUGCACUUAGUUUACAGCAUACGAAAAGAAUGUGAAAGCAAUUUUAGGUACGAUAGUGAACAAUUGGCAAAAACUUCAAAUAAAAACCACUAUAGUUUAUUUCAGGACUAGAAUUCUUGAGGCUCAUCAGUGAGAAAGCUGCUGGACACAUGAAAUAAUAGAACAUGUUUUAUAUGUGUGUUUAUACCCACGCUUGGUGUGUAUACAGAUAAGCCUAUAAUAGCUGAUUUCAAUGUCACACAAUUUAACCAUGAUGUAGAAACGUUAUAUUAGUUUUAGUUAUUUAAAUCCUACUUUAACUUUUAUUCCAUUUAAAAUGUAUAGUUAAGAUGGAAUCUCUUACCAGAUUUUGUUUAGAAAUCAUCUU